AGCUUUGCGCAGUGGCAGUAUCGUAACCAAUGAGGGUUAACCGAGGUGCGAUUAUUGCUAGUUAAUUCACUUUACUGUCGACACGUUAGAGGAAUAAACCUAAGACAAAUGAAAUCUUUACAUAUUCUUAGGAAA